UACGAAGGGGGCUAGCGUUGCUCGGAAUUACUGGGCGUAAAGGGCGCGUAGGCGGACAUUUAAGUCAGAGGUGAAAGCCCAGGCUCAACCUUGGAAUUGCCUUUGAUACUGGAUGUCUUGAGUUCGGGAGAGGUGAGUGGAAUGCCGAGUGUAGAGGUGAAAUUCGUAGAUAUUCGGCGGAACACCAGUGGCGAAGGCGACUCACUGGCCCGAUACUGACGCUGAGGCGCGAAAGCGUGGGGGAGCAAACAGG
rnacentral:rRNA from 1 species